GGUGAAGGAAGAUCCAGUGCUAGUUCAGCAGCUGAGACAAGAAACAGUCCAGUACUUCCACAGUUGUGCCAGGAUGAAAAUAAUGGCCACAUAUAUGUAAAUGCUGGCACUCCUGAGGUGUUCUACAGAACUGAUCAGCCAAUUCAAGAUGUAACAA